rnacentral:misc_RNA from 1 species
UCCGUAGGUGAACCUGCGGAAGGAUCAUUACAGUGUUCAGGCUUCGGCCUCAUUCACACCCCUUGUUGAACCUCUGGUUUCUUUGGCGAUGUCAUGGACUCGUCAAACUUUAACUCUGAUAAUGUGGUACUGUCCGAGUGAGAUUGAAUUAUCAAAACUUUCAACAACGGAUCUCUUGGUUCCAGCAUCGAUGAAGAACGCAGCGAAAUGCGAUAAAUAAUGUGAAUUGCAGAAUUCCGUGAAUCAUCGAGUUUUUGAACGCACAUUGCACUCCUUGGUAUUCCGAGGAGUACGCCUGUUCGAGCGUCAUUACACUCUCAAGCUCAGCUUGGAUUUGAAUCACUGCUGUUGGCAGGAUUCCAAUAUCAUAGGCAAUUGACCAUCUGUGAUGACUCACUGGGAGUUAAUUCGCCGGAAACUUUCUAUCAAGUUGACCUCGGAUCAGGCGGGGAUACCCGCUGAACUU